UGGGGAAUCUUCGGCAAUGGACGAAAGUCUGACCGAGCAACGCCGCGUGAGUGAAGAAGGUUUUCGGAUCGUAAAACUCUGUUGGUAGAGAAGAACGUUGGUGAGAGUGGAAAGCUCAUCAAGUGACGGUAACUACCCAGAAAGGGACGGCUAACUACGUGCCAC
rnacentral:rRNA from 1 species